GGUGGAUUAGUGGCGAACGGGUGAGUAACACGUGGGCAAUCUGCCCUUCACUCUGGGACAAGCCCUGGAAACGGGGUCUAAUACCGGAUAACACUUCCACUCUCCUGAGUGGAGGUUAAAAGCUCCGGCGGUGAAGGAUGAGCCCGCGGCCUAUCAGCUUGUUGGUGAGGUAAUGGCUCACCAAGGCGACGACGGGUAGCCGGCCUGAGAGGGCGACCGGCCACACUGGGACUGAGACACGGCCCAGACUCCUACGGGAGGCAGCAGUGGGGAAUAUUGCACAAUGGGCGAAAGCCUGAUGCAGCGACGCCGCGUGAGGGAUGACGGCCUUCGGGUUGUAAACCUCUUUCAGCAGGGAAGAAGCGAAAGUGACGGUACCUGCAGAAGAAGCGCCGGCUAACUACGUGCCAGCAGCCGCGGUAAUACGUAGGGCGCGAGCGUUGUCCGGAAUUAUUGGGCGUAAAGAGCUCGUAGGCGGCUUGUCACGUCGGUUGUGAAAGCCCGGGGCUUAACCCCGGGUCUGCAGUCGAUACGGGCAGGCUAGAGUUCGGUAGGGGAGAUCGGAAUUCCUGGUGUAGCGGUGAAAUGCGCAGAUAUCAGGAGGAACACCGGUGGCGAAGGCGGAUCUCUGGGCCGAUACUGACGCUGAGGAGCGAAAGCGUGGGGAGCGAACAGGAUUAGAUACCCUGGUAGUCCACGCCGUAAACGGUGGGCACUAGGUGUGGGCAACAUUCCACGUUGUCCGUGCCGCAGCUAACGCAUUAAGUGCCCCGCCUGGGGAGUACGGCCGCAAGGCUUAAACUCAAAGGAAUUGACCGGGGCCCCGCACAAGCGGCGGAGCAUGUGGCUUAAUUCGACGCAACGCGAAGAACCUUACC
rnacentral:rRNA from 1 species